GGGUGACAUGGAGCUGCGGGCGUCCUAAGGGUGGACAGGACCUUGGAGGAGCCACAGCCCAGCACCAGAGAUUCCAUGAAUAUCCUUUUAAACCAUGAUUUUUAUUUAAAUCUGAAAAAGCACAGGAGAUGGUCAAACAGUCAGUGCUUCACAUCUGUAAGCAAGACUACAUUCUGGUCGUGUGAGCCUCAGUUACACGGAUAAUCCAGGCUACAGUCCAGCUAAUCCAACAACAGCUGGCUGUGAACAGAAUGUCCAAGAAUCCAGUUGUUGCUUAGUCCACAAGGCUGGAUGUCUCAUCAUAUCUGGUCUUCAGUAUACACUGCAAUCCUGAGGAAGGAGGUUCCAAUACCAGUGAAGGAAUGGGAGGACUAGAAAAGGAAAAUCUACAGUUGCCAAGACAGGGAGAGCCAGGUGGUCUCCAGGCUGUCAUCCACAAGUCACCUGACUCUUUAUCCUGCUCAUCACAGAAUGAAGUCUACCCAGUUAGGUUCAUGUACUCCUGGGACCUGUAGUCAAGCAUGGAAUACUGUUCUUAUAGUUCUAUUUUAUGGGGAAAUUUGGCCCAGAGGAAAAUAGAGAUAUUGUCUGAGUCUACUGGGCAAGAUCUGAUUCUGAAUCCCUUAAUGUUGGAAGUGAUGCCCUUGAAACCCUCCAUUAUUGGUGUUACUAUUAUGGUUAGCAUUAAGUAUGACUGAGUUCAUGGGAAAUCCCCAGCCAGCUGCAGAAGACUAAUACAAAUGUGGUGGUCAAGAUGAAUAAUGAUAUGAUAAAGCUCUGACCUUGCUGAGAAAUACAUCUGAUGUCAAGAUGCCCAAUGUGAUGACUGGAACAUUUCUGAAAAACCAACAUCCUGCUGACUAAUAGAUAUGACAAACCUGUAACAUUUCUGACAUCCUGUUGACAUCAUCUGACCACACCAAUACUGUGUCCUUGGCCUGUGUAAAUG
ensembl:lncRNA